rnacentral:rRNA from 1 species
UUAAGCGACUAAGCGUACACGGUGGAUGCCCUGGCAGUCAGAGGCGAUGAAGGACGUGCUAAUCUGCGAUAAGCGUCGGUAAGGUGAUAUGAACCGUUAUAACCGGCGAUUUCCGAAUGGGGAAACCCAGUGUGAUUCGUCACACUAUCAUUAACUGAAUCCAUAGGUUAAUGAGGCGAACCGGGGGAACUGAAACAUCUAAGUACCCCGAGGAAAAGAAAUCAACCGAGAUUCCCCCAGUAGCGGCGAGCGAACGGGGAGCAGCCCAGAGCCUGAAUCAGUGUGUGUGUUAGUGGAAGCGUCUGGAAAGGCGCGCGAUACAGGGUGACAGCCCCGUACACAAAAAUGCACAUACUGUGAGCUCGAUGAGUAGGGCGGGACACGUGGUAUCCUGUCUGAAUAUGGGGGGACCAUCCUCCAAGGCUAAAUACUCCUGACUGACCGAUAGUGAACCAGUACCGUGAGGGAAAGGCGAAAAGAACCCCGGCGAGGGGAGUGAAAAAGAACCUGAAACCGUGUACGUACAAGCAGUGGGAGCACAGAGCAAUCUGUGUGACUGCGUACCUUUUGUAUAAUGGGUCAGCGACUUAUAUUCUGUAGCAAGGUUAACCGAAUAGGGGAGCCGAAGGGAAACCGAGUCUUAACUGGGCGUUAAGUUGCAGGGUAUAGACCCGAAACCCGGUGAUCUAGCCAUGGGCAGGUUGAAGGUUGGGUAACACUAACUGGAGGACCGAACCGACUAAUGUUGAAAAAUUAGCGGAUGACUUGUGGCUGGGGGUGAAAGGCCAAUCAAACCGGGAGAUAGCUGGUUCUCCCCGAAAGCUAUUUAGGUAGCGCCUCGUGAAUUCAUCUCCGGGGGUAGAGCACUGUUUCGGCAAGGGGGUCAUCCCGACUUACCAACCCGAUGCAAACUGCGAAUACCGGAGAAUGUUAUCACGGGAGACACACGGCGGGUGCUAACGUCCGUCGUGAAGAGGGAAACAACCCAGACCGCCAGCUAAGGUCCCAAAGUCAUGGUUAAGUGGGAAACGAUGUGGGAAGGCCCAGACAGCCAGGAUGUUGGCUUAGAAGCAGCCAUCAUUUAAAGAAAGCGUAAUAGCUCACUGGUCGAGUCGGCCUGCGCGGAAGAUGUAACGGGGCUAAACCAUGCACCGAAGCUGCGGCAGCGACGCUUAUGCGUUGUUGGGUAGGGGAGCGUUCUGUAAGCCUGCGAAGGUGUGCUGUGAGGCAUGCUGGAGGUAUCAGAAGUGCGAAUGCUGACAUAAGUAACGAUAAAGCGGGUGAAAAGCCCGCUCGCCGGAAGACCAAGGGUUCCUGUCCAACGUUAAUCGGGGCAGGGUGAGUCGACCCCUAAGGCGAGGCCGAAAGGCGUAGUCGAUGGGAAACAGGUUAAUAUUCCUGUACUUGGUGUUACUGCGAAGGGGGGACGGAGAAGGCUAUGUUGGCCGGGCGACGGUUGUCCCGGUUUAAGCGUGUAGGCUGGUUUUCCAGGCAAAUCCGGAAAAUCAAGGCUGAGGCGUGAUGACGAGGCACUACGGUGCUGAAGCAACAAAUGCCCUGCUUCCAGGAAAAGCCUCUAAGCAUCAGGUAACAUCAAAUCGUACCCCAAACCGACACAGGUGGUCAGGUAGAGAAUACCAAGGCGCUUGAGAGAACUCGGGUGAAGGAACUAGGCAAAAUGGUGCCGUAACUUCGGGAGAAGGCACGCUGAUAUGUAGGUGAAGUCCCUCGCGGAUGGAGCUGAAAUCAGUCGAAGAUACCAGCUGGCUGCAACUGUUUAUUAAAAACACAGCACUGUGCAAACACGAAAGUGGACGUAUACGGUGUGACGCCUGCCCGGUGCCGGAAGGUUAAUUGAUGGGGUCAGCGCAAGCGAAGCUCUUGAUCGAAGCCCCGGUAAACGGCGGCCGUAACUAUAACGGUCCUAAGGUAGCGAAAUUCCUUGUCGGGUAAGUUCCGACCUGCACGAAUGGCGUAAUGAUGGCCAGGCUGUCUCCACCCGAGACUCAGUGAAAUUGAACUCGCUGUGAAGAUGCAGUGUACCCGCGGCAAGACGGAAAGACCCCGUGAACCUUUACUAUAGCUUGACACUGAACAUUGAGCCUUGAUGUGUAGGAUAGGUGGGAGGCUUUGAAGUGUGGACGCCAGUCUGCAUGGAGCCGACCUUGAAAUACCACCCUUUAAUGUUUGAUGUUCUAACGUGGACCCGUAAUCCGGGUUGCGGACAGUGUCUGGUGGGUAGUUUGACUGGGGCGGUCUCCUCCUAAAGAGUAACGGAGGAGCACGAAGGUUGGCUAAUCCUGGUCGGACAUCAGGAGGUUAGUGCAAUGGCAUAAGCCAGCUUGACUGCGAGCGUGACGGCGCGAGCAGGUGCGAAAGCAGGUCAUAGUGAUCCGGUGGUUCUGAAUGGAAGGGCCAUCGCUCAACGGAUAAAAGGUACUCCGGGGAUAACAGGCUGAUACCGCCCAAGAGUUCAUAUCGACGGCGGUGUUUGGCACCUCGAUGUCGGCUCAUCACAUCCUGGGGCUGAAGUAGGUCCCAAGGGUAUGGCUGUUCGCCAUUUAAAGUGGUACGCGAGCUGGGUUUAGAACGUCGUGAGACAGUUCGGUCCCUAUCUGCCGUGGGCGCUGGAGAAUUGAGGGGGGCUGCUCCUAGUACGAGAGGACCGGAGUGGACGCAUCACUGGUGUUCGGGUUGUCAUGCCAAUGGCACUGCCCGGUAGCUAAAUGCGGAAGAGAUAAGUGCUGAAAGCAUCUAAGCACGAAACUUGCCCCGAGAUGAGUUCUCCCUGACUCCUUGAGAGUCCUGAAGGAACGUUGAAGACGACGACGUUGAUAGGCCGGGUGUGUAAGCGCAGCGAUGCGUUGAGCUAACCGGUACUAAUGAACCGUGAGGCUUAACCUU